UUCAGUUCUAUGUUGCAUACA
rnacentral:miRNA from 1 species